GCACCCUUAGCUCAGCUGGAUAGAGCGCUGCCCUCCGAAGGCAGAGGCCACAAGUUCGAAUCUUGUAGGGUGCACCA
rnacentral:tRNA from 1 species